rnacentral:rRNA from 1 species
CACACCGCCCGUCACACCACGAAAGCCUAUUGUACCUUAAGUCGCUGCGUCAACCGCAAGGAGACAGGCGCCCACGGUAUGAUUGGUGAUUGGGGUG